GCGAAGAUCCCAUCCGCGUCAGACGGGAGCCGUUAAAACUCUCCAAUGUCGACUUUUUAAGAGGGAAAAUCCGUCGAUGAAUAUCUCUAUAUUUCUCUAUCCAAAGCAACCGGAUUUUAAUUGACCAUGAUAUCAUAUACAAAUAAAAAAAAUUAAAAAAAGUCAGCGCUCAAAUAACUCAAUGAAAACACUUUAAUUCUCAUAUUAAGAGACAUUUUUAAGCGUUUAUUUGAGAGUCUUCUCUCAGAUUUGUACAACUUUUUCACUCUUACACAAAUUUCAGAGGGGUAAACACACACACACACACACACACGGUUUUGUCCAUCUCAAGUGAGUUUAAAAAUAACAAAUUGCCUUCACAGCCGUCCUUUGGCGCUUCCUCGCUGUCACUCCCGGGGAAGGCCUCCGUCCUCCUCCGGUAAUGGAGCUGUAAGCGGAGACACCGUCUCCCUCCGUCACCCCGUCUCCCGACAUCCCGGCGUGUCGUCCACGUUCCUGAACGAAACCGUCUGCUGUAAAUCUGCGGCCGAAGACUGAAGGGAAACGAGCAGCGACGACAGUUUCCCUCGCCGCCUGCAGAUGUUCACCGGCGCCCUCGUUAUAAAAAACCCCAUUGUCGUUGUGAUCCGGGAGCUGACGUCCAGAUACGCCGGUAUCGUCACAGUAUGAGUUUAAAAAAAAAGCUCUACUUUCCUGGUGUCUUUGGGUGAAGCUCUCGCUGCUCUCAUGGGGAUUAGAAGUCGUGCACAUUGCUGUUUCCACGAAAAAAGAAAAGAAACCCAACCCGAAGCCGCCGGCGAGCGGCGAGCGUGUGAGAAAUGGACUAAAGUGGCAGUUGCAUGUUUGUUUUGGUGACGGCGGUGGCGGCAGGGAGCCGUGUGUAAUCCUUCCUGCCCCGAGUGACUGACAGCCACAGGUCUACCUUCGCUUUCUGUCGACUGAGGGGGAAAAAAAACGCCGACAGCCUCGCCAUCAGAAACACGGCGACCCCGGCGGCCUCUGCUCCCCAAUGACCCCCCUUUCUCACCUCCUCUUCUUCACCGAGGUUUUACUCCCUUCUUUAUUCGACAUGUACUCAUUGAUUCGUUUGUGCUAAAGAUAUUCACACUAUCAUCAUGUUGAGACUUUUUUGUAGUCUAAUUAAAACAUUAACAUUCAGCUUUUAAUCAGUUCAGACCGGAAACGCCUCUUGUUUAUUAAAUCAGCCAUCACGAUGUACCAGUAUUGACGAUAAAAAUAAAUAAUGAAAUAAU